AAAAAAAAAAAAAAAAAAGCAAGACAGUAGUAAACAACUAAAUGAUCUGUGCAUGUUAGAUUCUCAAGCUUAGCUAGGUUAUUCAAUCCAUAACCUCCUCCUCGCAGACCUGAGCAAGUUUCACAAAGCCAUGAAUGGAGGAGCCUACUAGCAUUUCUAGGAAUGUAGCAACAAGAAAAGGAAAGAAAGAAAUAUCUCCCAGAUGUCAAGUAGCAUAUUGGCCAGUUAAUACUAACUUCUCUGUCCUAGGUAAGUGCUGUUAACCACUGAUAAUCAAUCACUUUUUAGAGCUACUCAAGGAAUUGCUGAGGCUUCAAAAUCAACACCAAUGCUGCAACCUUUGCAGAAGGUGCAGGUCUUGGUGCAAUUACAUGUGAUCAUAGAGGGGAGGUUAUUGCUAGGGUGUUUUGCUCCUGAGUUAUGCUGUGACACACAUGGGGCUUAUUAUUGCAGAUACAAUGAAGAUAAAGCAUUACUAUUAUCUUGAUUGUUUCUGCGUACAAAACCAACACACCCACAACCCCACCC
rnacentral:misc_RNA from 1 species